rnacentral:rRNA from 1 species
UACAGAGGUCUCAAGCGUUGUUCGGAAUUACUGGGCGUAAAGGGCUCGUAGGCGGCCAACUAAGUCGGACGUGAAAUCCCUCAGCUUAACUGGGGAACUGCGUCCGAUACUGGAUGGCUUGGAUUGGGAGAGGGAUGCGGAAUUCCAGGUGUAGCGGUGAAAUGCGUAGAUAUCUGGAGGAACACCGGUGGCGAAGGCGGCAUCCUGGACCAAUAUUGACGCUGAGGAGCGAAAGCCAGGGGAGCAAACGGG